rnacentral:lncRNA from 1 species
AAAGAAUAUUAGGAAAUAAUUCUGCACUACACUAUUGCCCCAUUUUUUCCAUAUUUCUCUCAAAUGCAAGAACACUGGACAAACAACUGGUGCUGGCUACAUAUGGAUGCAAUCUGGGUUUCAGAAUACAUAAUGACACAAAGCAGAGGUGUAAUCUAUUCCAAAUGGGCCAUCAUCUGGAUAUUGGAAAUGCCAUGCCAUAAACACUGUUCCCUUGUCUUAUAGGAUGUUAUAUAGGGUUGAAUGCAGAUGAAAGCCUAAAUUUAUAUCAUGCACCAAAGCAUAAAAUGAAUGUUAACCUUCUAAGUGCUCCUUUUUUCAUUGUCAGAUUCUGUUAACUGCCUGUCUUCUAAUGGCAGUGCCACUAACAUCUUUAAUGCUUUGGCUAUUUGAGGACCCUUGUCAUUUCUCUCCGUCAACAAAAAAGUGGGUGUGAAACUUAAAAUUCAAAGGAACUUUAGGAAUCCUUUAGUUCACGCAACCUCACUUCAUAAAGAAGUAGGGAAAGGGGAAGGUAUAACCUCAUGGAUCCUAGUAAGGGGUAGAUGAGCCAGGAAUUGACUCUGUUGACUUCUAAGAUAGGCUAACUUGUAUGCUGCUGUCUUGAUUUUCAGAAAAUACCUUUUUUGACUUAUCCUGAGUCUCUUCCUUGCGGAGAACUGGUUGCGUCAACAUGUCUUCGUAACCAGAGUGAGAAAUUCAGUGGGACAACAAGAUCUUAUUUUGAGUAUGCUGUUUAGCAAAAACUCCUUCAGUGAAAUUCCUGAAUUGCCUUUCACUACAUUUGGGUUCAAGAUGUGGAAGAAAGUUCCCAAAGGAGCCCAUGCACUUGUAGCCCCUACCUGGACCCCCAGGAAGUGGAAGGUGCCCACCAACUCACAGGACGGAGGAGGAUAGUCAGAUGAGACUGACCCUGAAGCGAUUAAAUGGCAAUUUUCAGAGGAAAAAAAUUGAGAAAAUCUUGAAAGAUUUUCUCCAUUUGGAGCAUUUUUUAUUUUGUGGAAAGAAGAAGGCAAAAGUCCAAAUCCUGGGCAACCAGAUUCCAAGCCACAUCCUGAUAUCCACGCAGGGAGGUAAAACCCAGAAGCAAAACAGAGAUUUACCUUCUAAGCGAUGCAAAGCAGGAGGCAGUGUACUGCUUGCAAAAAUCCAUAUGACAAUCACCGUGCAAGUACUUUGUCUAUACAACAGGCCAGCAUAAUUCAAGGGAAGUUUGCCCUAACAGUGGUUACAAAGCAGACUGGAGGAGCCACCAUGCUGCAGCUGACACACUGCAGACCCGAGGUACAGGCAGAGGUACAGGCAGACCCGAGUUCAGUCUUGCUACUCUGUGCAUGUGAGUCAAACCAGGAGUUUGCAGAGUUUGAUUAAAAUAUGGUUUUAAAGAUCUUGGCUCAACCUCUAACACAUAGUAAGCACUUGCUAUAUGGAAGCUGCUCUACCAUUUCACUUUAUCAUGAUAGAUGGGCAGACUAGGCCAAGUUCUCAAAGGCUGGACCACCUGUGAAAUGUAGAGACAUCCAUAGAUUUGUUUUUCCCUAAACAAAGUCUAUGACAUUCCCAGUGGCAUGGCACCAGCAUUCCUCUCCAUUGAAUGAACUGCUAAAUGACCAAGCUAGCACCUAGAAGAGGCAGAGCCCAGCAAUCUGUCAGAUGAUACAGCAGUGAUCCCACCACAGGGUUUGGCACAGUAGAAGAGUCUCCCUGCAGGGGACCUGGAGGACACCAGGGAGUAAGCAAAGCUCUAUAUGCUGUGGUGCCUGGAGUGGGGAAAAAAAGACAGAAUCCUGACCUUGAGCUCAUGCUGUGACAUCCAGCAAGAUCAUUCAGAUCCUCUCAAGGCAUCCUCCUGGAAACAGUUAUUUUCUUUUGCUUUUGCUUUUAAUUCUGUAACAAAAGAGUGAUAGUCGUAAGUCAUCAGCCAAACCCCAAAUGAGGAAUGGGCAAGGGAAGAAGAUGACCCAUGUCUUUCUGUUUACCCAGAGACGUUCCUCUUCAUUCUGAAGUUGGUAAGGAACAAUGUGGAGCUGUGACCUAUUGCCUACCACAUCCCUGUGCAUAGAUCCCCUGGGUAAAGAUGCAUAUAUUUGCUCAAAGGAAGCAUUUGAGGGCCCAGGGAGCAGGGCACAAUGUGUGGUGAGUACAGCAAAGUUUAAACUUCACUGGUUCUUCUGUUCCUUAGAUAUUUUACUAAUCCUGCUGUCAUAGUAUUGUUGAACAAUCAACCUGGGACAGUAUUGAGAGAAAUUGUGAAAGAGCACCGCCUAAUAAUUGCAGUGUGACAAUGAAUGAGUUUAGGUUGAGUAUCCCAGACAAACCAGGUGGAUGGCCACUGUGAUGGGCUACCUUAUUUCUUCUACCUUCCAAAUCCAUGUACAGCAGCCCUAACUCCCAGUGCAUAAUAAUAUGUCUAUAUUUGGCAAUACAAUCUGUAAAGAGGUGAUGAAGUUAAAAUGAGCUCCUUGAAAUGGGUCUUAAUUCAAUCUGACUGGCUCCCCAUCAGAAGAGGAAACUGGCUCCCCAUCCCACACAGCUACACCAGGGAUCUACACACAGAGCGAAGGCCAUGUGAGGGUCCAAGGAGAAGGUGAGCAUCCGUGAGUGAAGGAGAGGCCUCGAUCUCCAACACCUUGAUCUUGGACUCCUUAGCCUAGCAGACUAAUAUGGCCUCCUAUCUUCCUCAUCUGUAGAAAUGAACAGAAUAACGCCUAGUACUCUGGAUUAAAUUGGGUGACAUAAAGGAUGCUUACCUCAUUGUUGGCACUAUAAUGCAGUGUGCAUACACCUUGACAGAUAUAAGUCUAUUCAAGCUCAUAUUCUGAAAUUUCCUGGCUUUACCAUUCUGGGCAGUGCACUGGAAUCCUAAUCACACAGACAUUAAAUAGCCAUCAGGCCCAUAGACUCUUGAAAAUGAUAACAUCUAGGACUUUUUCACUUGGAACUUUGGGAAGAAAAAGGUGUGACUUAGGAAUGACCAAACCCAAACUCUAGGAUGUGAAUUACAUAAUGCAACUUAUUAUAAAAUAGCUAAGUUAAGUGUAACUGCAGACACUGAACAUUUAGUCAUGUGCAAUGGCUUCUGAUGAGAUUUCCAAGUCCAGGCUGCAGAGCUCCCUACAGUGCAGCACUGCGUUUGGGUGAGGCUCCUCUGCAUGGCUCCCUGCUUGCAUUGCCCACACCCCCCUGACCCUCUUCAGGGUACAUCUUGCUGUUGCUACUCCCUGGUGCAUGUGUGGGGUCUUACUUUUUUUGUAUAAUGACUCUCCUGAUUCUUUACGGCAUUUUCAGGCUCUGGCUCCCUAGUUCCUUCCGUGAUGUAGCUCAGUGGAUUUCCAAGCUGGCCUGAGUCUUACAGAUGUGCUGCUAGUGUGGAAGCUCUGUGCCAAG